AGUCGAACGGUGAAGGAGAGCUUGCUCUUUGGAUCAGUGGCGAACGGGUGAGUAACACGUGAGCAAUCUGCCCCUGACUCUGGGAUAACAGUUGGAAACAGCUGCUAAUACCGGAUACGAGACGUGACCGCAUGGUCGACGUUUGGAAAGAAUUUCGGUCAGGGAUGAGCUCGCGGCCUAUCAGCUUGUUGGUGAGGUAAUGGCUCACCAAGGCGUCGACGGGUAGCCGGCCUGAGAGGGUGACCGGCCACACUGGGACUGAGACACGGCCCAGACUCCUACGGGAGGCAGCAGUGGGGAAUAUUGCACAAUGGGCGAAAGCCUGAUGCAGCAACGCCGCGUGAGGGACGACGGCCUUCGGGUUGUAAACCUCUUUUAGCAGGGAAGAAGCGAAAGUGACGGUACCUGCAGAAAAAGCGCCGGCUAACUACGUGCCAGCAGCCGCGGUAAUACGUAGGGCGCAAGCGUUAUCCGGAAUUAUUGGGCGUAAAGAGCUCGUAGGCGGUUUGUCGCGUCUGCUGUGAAAACUGGAGGCUCAACCUCCAGCCUGCAGUGGGUACGGGCAGACUAGAGUGCGGUAGGGGAGAUUGGAAUUCCUGGUGUAGCGGUGGAAUGCGCAGAUAUCAGGAGGAACACCGAUGGCGAAGGCAGAUCUCUGGGCCGUAACUGACGCUGAGGAGCGAAAGGGUGGGGAGCAAACAGGCUUAGAUACCCUGGUAGUCCACCCCGUAAACGUUGGGAACUAGUUGUGGGGUCCAUUCCACGGAUUCCGUGACGCAGCUAACGCAUUAAGUUCCCCGCCUGGGGAGUACGGCCGCAAGGCUAAAACUCAAAGGAAUUGACGGGGACCCGCACAAGCGGCGGAGCAUGCGGAUUAAUUCGAUGCAACGCGAAGAACCUUACCAAGGCUUGACAUAUACGAGAACGGGCUAGAAAUAGUCAACUCUUUGGACACUCGUAAACAGGUGGUGCAUGGUUGUCGUCAGCUCGUGUCGUGA
rnacentral:rRNA from 1 species